rnacentral:rRNA from 1 species
CAGCCUGGUUGGCAAUCAGGAGGUGAGUGUAAGUGCACAAGGGAGCUUGACUGUGAGACUGACAGGUCGAGCAGGGACGAAAGUCGGGACAAGUGAUCCGGCACCUACUUGUGGAAGUGGUGUCGCUCAACGGAUAAAAGGUACCCCGGGGAUAACAGGCUGAUCUUCCACAAGAGUCCAUAUCGACGGGAUGGUUUGGCACCUCGAUGUCGGCUCGUCGCAUCCUGGGGCAGGAGUAAGUCUCAAGGGUU